CCCUUAGAUGUUCUGGGCCGCACGCGCGCUACACUGAUGCAUUCAACGAGUCUAAAACCUGCUCUGAUAGGGGUAGGUAAUCUUUUGAAUGUGCAUCGUGAUUGGGAUAGAUGAUUGCAAUUUUUCAUCUUCAACGAGGAAUGCCUAGUAAACGCAAGUCAUCAGCUUGCAUUGAUUACGUCCCUGCCCUUUGUACACACCGCCCGUCGCUCCUACCGAUUGAAUGAUCCGAUGAAUAUCAUGGAUUGAGGAUGCAAGCAGGUUCGCCUGUCUUCAUCUUCGAGAAGUGAAGUAAAUCUUAUCAUUUAGAGGAAGGAGAAGUCGUAACA
rnacentral:rRNA from 1 species